UCUCUGUAUAGCCCCGACCAUCCUGGAACUCAUUCUGUAGACCAGACUAUGCAGCUGGGAGACAAAGGGCAAUCGAUCAGUUAGCAGAGACUCUUCAGCUCUGCACUCGGAAAAGCUGAAGGACACUGCCCAAUCCAACCUGCCCUGUCUUUUUCUCCGAAUUUACUUUGAGAGAUGAGAACUUUUCUGUGACAAGGGUUCUUGAUUUAUAGCAGAUUCAUGCAAAGGGCUGUGAUAAACUCCAAAUGUCUAAGAACCACCAAAUAUCCUGGUGGAUUGUGGAGCAGAUGACAAAAGGUCUAAACCCAAAACAAACUCAGGAGAAUUGAGUGCAGUGAUUGAGAAGUUAAAAACUUUGUCUAGUCUAUAACUCUGAACGUCUAGCUUUUGGAAAAGGAGAUUAUUUUGAGUUUAAGCUAAGCUCAAUCUAACUGGUUCUUGGCAUUAUACUUUUGAUUAUAUAGAUGCUGGUAUUACAUGAAAUUGUCAGUAUGUGAAAGCUUGCCUAUAAGAUAGACCAGGAGGAAUUUAAAAAUUCAGUAAGUAGUAAACUGACUUCUUCAUCACAGAAAAUACACAUCUUGUAUGGUACAUGGUUAAUACCUAUUAUUGAUUGCCAGACAUUAUGAUAUGGUAUGUGACAGAUAUACAUCUAAAACACUUAAGAAUUACAAAGAGUUCAUUUCCAGUGAUGAUGAACAUAGCACUGUAGUGUGUGUGUGUGUGUGUGUGUG